rnacentral:tRNA from 1 species
GGGCCUGUGGUCUAGGGGUAUGAUCCUCGAUCCGCACCUGCACGGCGACAAACCGUAACAUGGUUGGUUAUUGAGUGGUCCGGGGUUCAAAUCCCCGUAGGUCCA